AGUGGCGGACGGGUGAGUAACGCGUAAGAGUCUAACUUCAGGACGGGGACAACAGUGGGAAACGACUGCUAGUACCCGAUGUGCCGCGAGGUGAAACCUAAUUGGCCUGAAGAAGAGCUUGCGUCUGAUUAGCUAGUUGGUGGGGUAAGAGCCUACCAAGGCGACGAUCAGUAGCUGGUCUGAGAGGAUGAGCAGCCACACUGGGACUGAGACACGGCCCAGACUCCUACGGGAGGCAGCAGUGGGGAAUUUUCCGCAAUGGGCGAAAGCCUGACGGAGCAACGCCGCGUGAGGGAGGAAGGUCUUUGGAUUGUAAACCUCUUUUCUCAAGGAAGAAGUUCUGACGGUACUUGAGGAAUCAGCCUCGGCUAACUCCGUGCCAGCAGCCGCGGUAAUACGGGGGAGGCAAGCGUUAUCCGGAAUUAUUGGGCGUAAAGCGUCCGCAGGUGGUCAGCCAAGUCCGCCGUCAAAUCAGGUUGCUUAACGACCUAAAGGCGGUGGAAACUGGCAGACUAGAGAGCAGUAGGGGUAGCAGGAAUUCCCAGUGUAGCGGUGAAAUGCGUAGAGAUUGGGAAGAACAUCGGUGGCGAAAGCGUGCUACUGGGCUGUAUCUGACACUCAGGGACGAAAGCUAGGGGAGCGAAAGGGAUUAGAUACCCCUGUAGUCCUAGCCGUAAACGAUGGAUACUAGGCGUGGCUU
rnacentral:rRNA from 1 species